rnacentral:rRNA from 1 species
CAGUAACGGCGAGUGAAGCGGCAAAAGCUCAAAUUUGAAAUCUGGCUCCUUCGGGGUCCGAAUUGUAAUUUGUAGAGAGUGCUUCGGGCGAGACCUCGGUCUAAGUCCAUUGGAACAUGGUGUCAUAGAGGGUGAGAAUCCCGUAUGCGACCGUGGCUCGAGCCCAUGUGAAGCCUCUUCGACGAGUCGAGUUGUUUGGGAAUGCAGCUCAAAACGGGUGGUAAAUUUCAUCUAAAGCUAAAUACUGGCUGGAGACCGAUAGCGCACAAGUAGAGUGAUCGAAAGAUGAAAAGCACUUUGGAAAGAGAGUCAAACAGUACGUGAAAUUGUUGAAAGGGAAGCGCUUGCAACCAGACCUGCCCGUAGGCGAUCAGCCGCUGUUCUCAGCGGUGUACUCGCUCUGCGAUCAGGCCAGCAUCGGUUUCGGCGGUCGGAUAAAGGCCUUGGGAAUGUAGCUUCCUCUCGGGGGAGUCUUAUAGCCCUCGGUGUAAUGCGGCCAGCUGGGACCGAGGACCGCGCUUCGGCUAGGAUGCUGGCGUAAUGGUUGUAAGCGACCCGUCUUGAAACACGGACCAAGGAGUCUAACAUCUAUGCGAGUGUUUGGGUGUCAAACCCAUGCGCGGAAUGAAAGUGAACGGAGGUGAGAACCCUUAAGGGCGCAUCAUCGACCGAUCCAGAUGUCUUCGGAUGGAUUUGAGUAUGAGCAUAGCUGUUGGGACCCGAAAGAUGGUGAACUAUGCCUGAAUAGGGUGAAGCCAGAGGAAACUCUGGUGGAGGCUCGCAGCGGUUCUGACGUGCAAAUCGAUCGUCAAA